UCCACCUUUUCCCCUGAAACCCCAAGCCCCAAUUAACAGGCAAAUUCCUCUCUACCACAAAGACCCAGCUACUACUGUCUCAUAGUGCCUGUUUCUGUCUCCUGAACGUUAACAGGCACAGCUCCCCCCACCCCAUGGACUACCACUUUUAGACUGGCACAUACGUUUCACAAGACAGCUUUUGUGGUUUCAAUUUUUUUCCUUCAUAAGUUUGCAGCUGCUAGUUUUGAAACCACUAGCCCUGAAGCAAGUGAGUGAGCAAGAGAGAAGAGAGAGAGAGAGAGAGAAAAAGAGAGAGAGAGAAGAUAUAAAGGGGAUCUAAUAAGAUGACUUUUCGUGAAUCACUUAUUACCUCCCAGCAGUCUCUGUGGAAGCCUCAUUCUUGCUUGGCCUCCCCUGCAGACUUCAAGACUACUGGACACACUUAGGGGUUUGUGAAUAAGAGUGCUUUUGAUGAAGUGAGCUUCAUUUGCCUAUGUAGUGGCUGCCUGAGGGUGACAGGUGAAUUGAGAAUGGCCAAAAUUUUUCAGUUGUGAUUUGAAGUGGCCUCCAUGUCCUGCUUGAAUGUGUGCACCAGAAGGUACAACCCAUGUGUUCAGGCUGGGGAGGGGAAAGGUAGAAAGAACAGGAAUAUACUGAUGGGGUUUGUGCAUGACGGAGUGCUGGUGUUCAGAUACCCUAAGUAUCCAAACACGGAUGCUAUUGAGGCAAGAAGAAAAGCCAGCAAUAGCUGAAUCCAGAGAAAACCAUUCACCUUCAGGUCUUCCCUUGCCCUUGCUACAUCACCUGGCAUUUGUGGGAGUUAAUUAUAGCUUUUAUCAGGACCCAAUGAACAGCUCAGUUUGUAGCCUGGAAUCAAACCUUGGGCAGAGUGUGGAGGGUGUUCAGGAGACUGAGCUGGAAAACCUAUUGGGGGUGGCACCUGUGUACCACCUAUUCAGGGCACUCCAACCUGAACCUCAGAGUUCUCUGAACCUAAUUAAAGCUCUUUUGCUGAUGCUUUGACCGGAGAAGGCAGGGAAAAAAUGUGGGCUAUUGGAGAUCUCCAUUCCCACUCAUCUUGUUUCCGCCUCUCCCAGAGCAACAAACCUCUUCCAAUCUUAUAUCUAAGUCACUUAUGUUCACCCUUUUCCUCAUACACUUUCUCAAGUUUCUAGGAUAUCCCCUAAUGGCUUGCACUAGAUUGUUUUUCUUUGUAUGAACCCUGAAAUAUCUAACACAAUCACUCCUUUUCAUGUACUAGGCACCUUAUACAUGGUUAUUUAACUGAAUGGGAUGCAAUGGUGGCUGUCUUAUCCUCUUACAAAAACAUACACAUAAUUUCCUUUCAUAGAUAAAAGAAAAUCUUACUCCCUAUGGCCCCACCCAUAAAGGUGAAGGCUAAAGUCUUACUCCUUUUUCUCAAUUUCCAUCUCAUGCAGGUGGGAGAUGUCUCAUACUGUGUCACUACUACAGACCUUGCACACUCUUCCCAUGGCCAUGCUAAUGCCUUUGUCAGUCCAUCUAGUAAAGAGCAGGUCCUUUAGUAAGUCAGCCCCAGGGGUACCUCUUCUGGGAAGCCAUCCUGACUCCUGAGGUCUUCCUAGAACAUUCUUCAGUUGGCCUCUUGUCAUAUUUAACAGCUAUUAUUGUGUAAGUGCUUGCUUUGUUUUGUAACUUGAGUGCUCAUCUGUGCUUGUUUUCUUCAAGAGACCUUGAAUUCAUCAAAGGCAGGGACUAAAUCUCAUACACAACUGGCAUUCACAAUCCCGCCCAGAAAUCACUGGCACUCAGUAAAUGUCUGAUAAUAAGAAUUAAUAAAAGAAUGAAUGAGUGGCACUGGCCUAUUCCUGGAAUUCAAGCAGGGAAUUCCUGUUCUCCUUCUUUCCUUUUCUUUCCCACACAUGGCCACCUCCUGGAGCUCAGCACACACAUAUGGCAUGAGGAAUGUAUUUUUCUUUUAUUUCCAGUUCUGAAAUGUUUCUAUCCUUGUUCUGUCAGAUCACACACAGCCAUUCCUACUCAAUACAUUCCUAAUGUUCACAAGAACAUUGAUUCAUCACCUGUGAUACGGACACCUGUGUGGAUGAGCCUUUGCUAGAUCACAGCGUACCUCCCCCAUAAAACCCCCUAACCCGAGCUCAUGGGAAUUUCCCUUUUAUUCUGAAUCAACUAACCCUAUUAAUACUGCCUGACCCCAAUUUAUCUUCUCUUCUAUUUUUUAUUGUUACACUAUCAUUUUAUACACAACUGCACACAACGGUUAUGGUGGAAUGAACUACAUAUUUUGUUUCCUUUUAAAAUCCGUGUCAAAUCCUAGCCCCUAAUGCCAGAAGAUGACAUCUUCGGGUAUUGAGUUAGUUAUAGGGAUGGAAGUACAUUAGAUUGGAAUUAUAUUGGAAGUAAAUCAUCAAAAUAUCAUUGCAUAGAUUACAUAUAGGGUAACAGAUUGUUUUCUGGUUGCAAAAUCAUGGGUAUAUUUGCAUUUUCCUUUUGUGCUUUUCUUCAUGUUUUGCAAGUAGUAUACAAAAUUAAAUAUCAGCAGAUGUCAGUGCUUUAGAAG